rnacentral:rRNA from 1 species
AACGAACGCUGGCGGCGUGCCUAACACAUGCAAGUCGAACGAGAAAGGGGCUUCGGCUCCGAGUAAAGUGGCGCACGGGUGAGUAACACGUGGGUAACCUGCCUCUAAGAUUGGGAUAACUCGUCGAAAGAUGAGCUAAUACCGAAUAAGACCACAGUUCCCGCGGGAACAGGGGUCAAAGGUAGCCUCUGCUUGCAAGCUAUCACUUAGAGAUGGGCCUGCGCACCAUUAGCUAGUUGGUAGGGUAACGGCCUACCAAGGCAAAGAUGGUUAGCUGGUCUGAGAGGAUGAUAAGCCACACUGGAACUGAGACACGGUCCAGACUCCUACGGGAGGCAGCAGUGGGGAAUAUUGCGCAAUGGGCGAAAGCUUGACGCAGCCACGCCGCGUGAGUGAUGAAGGCCUUCGGGUCGUAAAGCUCUGUCGGGAGGAACGAAUGCUCCUGAGGUUAACAGCCUCGGGAGGUGACGGUACCUUCAAAGGAAGCACCGGCUAACUCUGUG